GCGGUGGGGAGGGGGAAGGUGACGGGUAUGGGUACGGGGAAGGGAACCUUAAAUUAUUCUUCAGGAUUAACGAAAAAUUGUUGUUAUAAUCUUAUGUUUUUGUUUUAUUAUAAUUUGUUGUGUAUAUUAUAAAUUUUUCUAGACAUAGGAGGUAUAUUUAGAAAAGUACAAAUUUUUUUUAUUUUUUAAAAUAGAUGCCUAGGCACAACACUCGCUCUAAUCAACGAGUAAGUGUUGAAUAUGACGAACGAUGUGGGUGUCCGGCAUCCCCUUGAGUUCAGGCAUUGUUGAAUCACUCGAUAGGUGUACUCAUUUGUACUAAGUGCCCUAUGACUACCCACAAAUGGAAGUACGUCACCCACAAUACAACACCCGACCUAAUGGAAGAACUCUCGACCGAGUUUAAAAUUAACAUGAGUAUACCGCUUACCUUUGACUAUGUUAAUUGGCUAUGGACAAUAAAAUUUAAAGAGUGGUUGUUCGAGCUACACACCUACUAUUUUGAAUACGGAUGUCAUGAAGAAGCUCUAAAUCAUCUGCCUAAUGAACUUCAGAUUUAUAAGUGUAGUUUUUUUAUUACUUUUAUGAAAAUUUUUUGAGGAUUA